rnacentral:siRNA from 1 species
UAGAUCUGGGUUUUGCUUUAC